rnacentral:rRNA from 1 species
AUUCCAGCUCCAGUAGCGUAUAUUAAAGUUGUUGCGGUUAAAAAGCUCGUAGUUGGAUUUCUGUUUCUGGGAUCUGGUCCGCCUCACGGUGAGCACUGGAUAACUGGGGACAUCCUCUCGAAGGCGGCGGGUGCACUUGAUUGUGUGUUUGUUGAAUUCGGGACCUUUACUUUGAAAAAAUUAGAGUGUUCAAAGCAGGCGUCGGCUUGAAUACAUUAGCAUGGAAUAAUGGAAUAGGACUUUGGUUCUAUUUUGUUGGUUUCUAGGACCGAAGUAAUGAUUAAUAGGGACAGUUGGGGGCAUUAGUAUUUAAUUGUCAGAGGUGAAAUUCUUGGAUUUAUGAAAGACUAACUACUGCGAAAGCAUUUGCCAAGGAUGUUUUCAUCA